rnacentral:lncRNA from 1 species
AUCCGGAGGAGCUGGAAGAUGACGCCGAGGACGCCAGUUACUCUUCGGAAAGCAGCUUCAGCAGCACUCCAGAAAUCUGGGCUGCAAUUUAAUUACAGAACUGAGCCUUGGAACAUUUCAGGCCUGGCACGGAAUGCAGUUUUUACACAACUUGAGGCAUGAGGAGGUGAGAGAUGGAAAGAAUGCUGUCUGUCAUUUGGAGUCAGAAGGAAAAGAAGGUUGAGGGUCUGCCAGCUCUGCUCUAGUGGUUUUUUCCUGUUUCACCUUUUACAAAAUCGAGAUAAUCGUUUCUACUUGGUAGCGAUAUUGUGAGGUGUAAAAUGGAUUAAUACAUGGAAAAUGCUUAAAGCAACUUCUGGCAUACGGUGAUCGCUCAACCAAUCCAUUGUUAUUUUAUUAUUAUUAUUUU